AGGAGCGUGACCCUGUGGUCCUCACCGAGCUCAACCACCGCACCUGCUCCCUCCCUUCCCCCUUUUAUUCCGCAUCCGAGGCACAGCGAAACCCUAGCGCCAUCUCCCUCUUCCUCCUGCCGCCGCCCCCUCUCUUUUCCCUCUCUUUCUGUGAGGAACACGAACACACCGAGAGCGCCACCGUCACUGCCCGCCAUGGCGCCGCCAGCUCCGUCCACCCCAAGCCUCGCCGCUGCCACCGUUGGAACCGCCUCGUCGCCCUCUACGUUCGGGUGCAAGGAAUCGAGCUAAUACCCUGUAAAUCGAGCGCAGUUUCGCGGAUUCCUUGCGCUGGUCGUCGUCUUUCUUCUUCGAUUCCGGCGAACCUCGGCCUCCCCUGCUUCUUCCGAGCACACGUUGAGCUUCAGGCAGCUCGCCGGCGACCCUCCUCCGGUGGUCCCCCGCUCCCGGCGCCGCCUCCAUCUGGUCCGCGUCGACAAGACGCGUCGUCUGCGCCAAGCCUCGCUUCCUGGGGAGCCCUGCGUCGCCCGCGCGCAACCGUGCUGACCGCGGUGACCACCGCCACGGGAACACGCGCUGGCAUCCCCUUUCCGUCGAGCACCUUCCGUGCGUGCCUGGAUGGUUUGCCACGGUAGCCUCCACGUCAACCCUCGGGCCCCAUCCGUCAUCCUCUCGGGCUAAGCCCAUCCUGGAUCACGAAGUGGUGCUGUGAGAUACGAUGAGUUCUCCGACAAGUUCUUCAGCAGUUUUUCACAGGCGAGCCCACCCCUUCACCUAUUUUACUUUUACAUGCUCUUUUGAUCUAUUGCUAUCCUUGUGUUGCGAUUCUGUUGUGUCACGUGUCCUAUCCACCUGUUACCUAUAUGUCCGAGAUACACCUCCUCGCCCUACCUAUUGUUUGUUGUUUGCCAGCUUUGCGAGUCGUAGGCGAGUUUAGGGUCUUGUUGAUAUCUCGAGAUGUUCGGGAUAUCUUGUUGGGAGGUUAUCACAUGCUAUAUCUUUUGUUGGAGAUAA